rnacentral:rRNA from 1 species
UACGGAGGGUGCAAGCGUUAAUCGGAAUUACUGGGCGUAAAGCGCACGCAGGUGGCUGAGUCAGUCGAUUGUGAAAGCCCUGGGCUUAACCUGGGAAUUGCAGUCGAUACUACUCAGCUAGAGUAUGGGAGAGGGUAGUGGAAUUCCCGGUGUAGCGGUGAAAUGCGUAGAUAUCGGGAGGAACAUCAGUGGCGAAGGCGGCUACCUGGCC